rnacentral:rRNA from 1 species
UACAGAGGGUGCAAGCGUUAAUCGGAAUUACUGGGCGUAAAGCGCGCGUAGGUGGUUUGUUAAGUUGGAUGUGAAAUCCCCGGGCUCAACCUGGGAACUGCAUUCAAAACUGACAAGCUAGAGUAUGGUAGAGGGUGGUGGAAUUUCCUGUGUAGCGGUGAAAUGCGUAGAUAUCGGGAGGAACACCAGCGGCGAAGGCGGCUUUCUGGACCAAUACUGACGCUGAGACGCGAAAGCGUGGGGAGCAAACAGGAUUAGAUACCCGGGUAGU